UCCCUGGUGGUCCAGUGGUUAGGACUCAGCACUCUCACUUCCGGGGGCCCAGGUUCGAUCCCUGGUUGGGGAA